rnacentral:lncRNA from 1 species
CAUGCAUGAGGUAAGUAAGAGGUCAUGGAAAGAUCCUGCUCCGGGCGAAAGAUCGUUCAUUGAUGGAUCAUGAAUUUUGUGUGAGGGGCGCCGGCGCGAGGAGUAACGGAUGGAGGAGGGAUAUUCGGUUCGUAGAUAGUACGCCACACGAUGCACAAGGGAGGCAAGAGGAGAGUGUAGGCCGGCUGGACAGCUGAUGUAGGCUGGAAGGUGUACGUGUACAUGUGUAUGUAUUACAUGCACCUUGAGUUGCGUUAGGCUUCAAUGGAACGGUAGCGCGGUGUAUAACCAUGAAUGCUGUUACAGCUGAGCUCACAGGGUCAUCGGUGCCCAUGAAGAAACGUCUUGCAGUAUGUUGCCUGCAGGCGAGCGGUGGGGAGCACGUCCGUCGUGUAUGGGUGUUUCGUGACGCAAGAAGCUAGAAUGACUCCUCACAGGUCCUCAAAAGGGAGCGGGAAACUUGGUAUUGCGGGAUAAUUGAUAUUGCGGCGGGCUCUUGUCGCGUAAUCUGCGUGUAGUAGCCGUUAUACUGUACGGCACCGUGAACAACUAAAAAUACGCGCUAAGCGCGUCCACCAGCAUCUCGAGAGGCCUUUUCAGCGGCCAGCUACUACACUGCACAGGACUGCGCGAAUAAUCUUGCUCACCACCCAUCAUUACCCCAGCACCGUACACUGCAUACACCCCAGAACCAAAAGGACCCCACGUUCUGGACGGAAAGCAAGGUGCCGGGCAGCUACACGAAAUCUAUCCGUGAUUUCCUGGAGAGCCGUCAAUGCAAAAAGCUCGAGCUUUCUCAGAAGAUGCUGUAUGUGACAAAAAAAGUACGAGGAUCUUGACGAUAACAAGCAGGCGGCUGGCAGAGGUUAAGGCCUGGCUUGGGUUCAAAUCCGCCUGCCGACCUCUCGGGGUGUUUGAGAGGUGAUGAAAUGGAAGGUGGCCCCCCAUCUUGUGGACGGUGGAGGGUGUGAUAUAAUCGACUUGCGAACUGACCAGGAACUAAGUUGACGCGCCGUUGAUCCGCUAGAUUUGGUUGGAUGCCGGUGGUGAGUUGCCAAACUCGAAUAGUACACUCUGAAGUCGGAUGGGUUGAGCGGAUUAGGGUGCCCCUCUAGCAGAGGAGAGCAGGGAACUGCCUCGGGAAGGAGGCCACUGGUGAAGCUUAACCACCCUGUAACAACGUCAACAAUAUUUUUGCGGCACAAAAAAGUAUUAGGACUCCUAAAAUAUCCAACACCUGGCAUUGCCCAUGCGGCAUCUUCCCAUAUUGAUAAUUGAUUAUGGUACCAAAUGAAAUCCAUUACAAGCAAUCAUUUUUGAACUGGAGAAGAAGUUUGCUUGUAGAUUUAAUUUCCUGGAGUACAUGAGGGGGCCCUACUUUUCAAUAAAUUGUUUUGUGGCCAGUUGGCCAUGUUGAGGUUCUCGGUCAGCAGCUCAGGUCCUCCUUGCCUCAGCAGCCCCCGGGCCUCGCCAGCAGCAGUGUCUCAAGUGGCUCGUUCGGAAGGUGCUCGCUGGGAGUGGGCUCCAUCCUCCUCGGCCCGGUGGCCCGGUGCCGUUUCCGCACAACGCUACCGUACUGGGACAGUGAAAUGGCCGAUACGUGGUUCUUGCCAACUGAACGCAACGAUGCAAAAGUAGAGCAUGACAUAAAACGGCUCAUAAGAAGGGCAUACAGAAUGCAUACAGAAGAAACAUACGAAAGGUACCGUACCAGGAUUUCGGUGCUUGCGGUCUUCCUCAACACACCACCAGCGGCUGUUUCCAUUGAACAAUGCACCAAGUAAGCUGAACUAAACAAGUUGUUACGUUGGAUCCGCAUCCGGACCCGCAUCCGCGGUGCUGUCCGCGCCCAAACGCGGUA